GAUGAACGCUAGCGGCAGGCCUAAUACAUGCAAGUCGAACGGUAAGGCCCUUUCGGGGGUACACGAGUGGCGGACGGGGUGCGUAACGCGUAUGCAACAUACCUUCAAGCGGGGGAUAUGCCAGGGAAACUUGGUGCAACACCCCAUAGCAUUUCGGGACCGCAUGGUCUUGGGAUUAAAUAUUUAUAGCUUGGAGAUUGGCAUGCGUGACAUUAGCUAGUUGGCGGGGUAACGGCCCACCAAGGCGACGAUGUCUAGCUGGUCUGAGAGGAUGAUCAGCCACACUGGGACUGAGACACGGCCCAGACUCCUACGGGAGGCAGCAGUAGGGAAUAUUGGACAAUGGGGGGAACCCUGAUCCAGCCAUGCCGCGUGAGGGAAGAAGGUCCUCUGGAUUGGUAAACCUCUUUGGCGGGGACAAACCUGCACUAUACGUGCAGCUGAGGGUACCCGCAGAAUAAGCACCGGCUAACUCCGUGCCAGCAGCCGCGGUAA
rnacentral:rRNA from 1 species